rnacentral:rRNA from 1 species
UACGUAGGGUGCGAGCGUUGCCCGGAUUUAUUGGGCGUAAAGGGCGCGUAGGCGGUGCCGUACGUCCGUUGUGAAAUCGCUCGGCUCAACUGGGCGGGGUCAGCGGAUACGGUGGCACUUGAGCAAGCUAGGGGGCAAUGGAAUUCCCGGUGUAGUGGUGGAAUGCGUAGAUAUGCGGAGGAACACCGAUGGCGAAGGCAAUCCCCUGGACCUGUACUGACGCUCAUGCACGAAAGCGUGGGGAGCAAACAGG